ACCAAUCCGAGACACCAGUGCAACCAAGUGGUAACCAAUAAUUAACCGAUGAGGUUAUAGCUAUGGCAGGACCUUUAAACUCUAGAAGAGGACAAUGGAAAAAUACUGUAACCCCAGGGUCGUCACAAUACGUUUCUUCUCAUGAAAUUUUGUUCGGGAGUUAUUUCUUUUCUGAAGUAACGUUAGCUAUGACGGGAUAUUUAAACGCUAGAAGAGGACUAUGGAAAAAUAUAUUUCCUCUCAGGUAAUUUUGGCGAGUUAUCUUUCUUUUCUGAAGUAACGUUAGCUACAAUUUUAUUGUUGUCUGCUGUUUUUAUUAAUAAUCAUCAUCAUCAUCAUCAUCAUCAUCAUCAUCGAUUGGAAUAUCUAGCAGCAGACCUGGAGCCCGGGUUCAGAAAACUGCCAAAUGGAAGCCUUGUCUUAACAGACAGUAAGGAUUCUAGGGUUUACAGGACAUAAACUACUAAAAGAGUGUGGAGCCAGACUGUGUCUCCAGGCAAUGUGGUGGAAUCAGCCAGGAGGGCUGUACUGCUCAGAUGUGGCAACCCAACAAGCAGGGCACAUUUGCUGGGUCAGCAUGAGUUACAUUUUGGCCUUUAUAAGGAGCAGUCUUUCAAGUGGGUGGUUGAAAAUGUGCUGGGCUGGGUAUUUGGUGGCAUCGAUGCAGAAAGAAUCUGCCUCUCAGCCAGCGAGGAGUGAUUUCAAAAGCCAUGCUGCUAAUAAGACGGCUUUCAAGGAAUACAUGGAGCUCUUCCACGAGGGCCGGGAGGCUAUCAGGAUUAAGUCCACCACCCAGCCGUCCUCCACCACCCAUCCAUUCAAAGACCAGAUGACCACCGGUUCCCAGAGGUCCUCAACAUCCUCACUCAGGUCAUUGCUGGUUGGACAAUUACGCCCCUCCCAGAAUCUCGACAGCACAAUAAGGAAGCUCAUGUCUCCUCGGAAAGUUCAGCCUAUUCUACUUUUCAGCCAUUCCAGCCUCUGAGCCUGAUGAUGGUGAGCUCCUUAUGGCAGCAGAGCAGCACGAGUCACAGGAGUCAGACGUGCCGCGACCAAUGGAGUUACAAGUAUCAAGUUAUUACAUAUAGUACUCACUGCUCAGCCUCUAAGUUUCAUUCUACGUGUUUGUGUGGUGUAUUUAUAGUGAUGACUUACAUCAUUUAAAAUGUAUCAGGCCUACACAGUAUGUCUCAUGUGAUAUGAGGACCUGUCCUUGGGGAAUUUAUCAUCAAUACAUUAUUUAUUGUGUUGAGAUGUUGUCUUUUGAUUUCAGAGAGCGACGUAAUAUGCCUUCCCAAGGAUUGGCAACACACUUUGCCUGAUGUGGACCAUAAGUGGGUUACCAAGGCAUUGUUCAGGUGGUCGGGGAAUAGGAUUCCAGAGAUGGACUUUGCCAGGGUUGACAAAAUGUGGUGGGACGCCCCUCCACCACCCCUCAUCAGCACCGGUGGUGGAGAGGUACUUUGUCCAUCCUCUGCUGCUCUGGAUGCCCAGGAAACUCUGGCAGGUGAAGCUGUAUUGCCCACAUUCUGGCUGUUAGGGGGAGCUGACCUCAUCAGGACUCCACCAGAAGAUCAGGCAGGUUGUGGAUGUGGACAGAUCUUACUAUCUGGCAGCAGAAUACCUUCAAUGUCCCAAGUGCAGUAAGAAGGUCAUCAGUUGGAACCACAGCAUCCUUUUCCAGCUGGACAUAGGCCACAGCAUCCAGUUUCCCUGCAUUUUGACAGCUAAACCCGUCUGUGACAUCAAGGUAGUUCAUCUGAUGAGACAGCGAGGUCUAGGGAACAGCAGCAGCCAUAUACAAAAGAAGGUGACAUCUGUGCCCAAGUACCGCUGGCUAAUGCAGGUAUACACCCAGGAUGUCCUGCCCCAACUGGAUGAGGUCAAGGCCAGCAUUACCUCCCACGGUACUCAAGAUCGACUCAACCAAGAAGGUAGUAAAGAAGUUGGCAAGCCACAGUGCCAAAACUGCUGUGUGGGCCACUAAUGUGGGAAAUGAGCAUGGACAAGUCUUCAUGUCCGUGCUCACAUCCAGUGAAGGCAAAAGGACUGGGCCCUAUGGUCGAUGGCCUCAUCAAAAAGUAUGCGGAUGCUGGAAUCACAACACCUUCCAUCCUGUAUGUGAACAGGGACUGUUGUGUAGCAAGCCACAUUCAGAAGAUCAGAAGCUCGCUGCCUGGCCACAGCUGAAGAUAAAGCUGGACAUGUGGCACUGCAUGAGGCGCAUUGCAGUUGGUUGCAACACUAACUCCCACCAGCUGUAUGCAACGUUCAUGAAUUGUCUCAGGCAGUGCAUUUUCCAGUACGACCAGGAUUACCUAAAAGCACUGAAGGAUGCAAAACAAAAAGACUUGGAAGCAAAGCUCAUGGGUCCAUUAGAUGCUGAUGUCAUGCGUAACAUCACUCGGAGUGAGCUGGCCCUGCACUGCCGAAGAACCACACGUGGCACAGAGGAAACCCAGGCUCUGAUCACUGAGCUCAUCAAUGGCUGAUGGUAAGAAGGGGCGUGACUCCUUGGGUGUGCCUCUGAUCAACUCCUGCAGGAUGGAGGACAUCUGGAGGACACAGAUCAAGUAUGUGGCCUGCCUGCAAGACCCAGAGGGUGCCCAGUUAUAUAUCCAGACUGGCAUCAGCAUCAAGGGAGGACUUCCCCUGCCCACAUACAGAUGUGCCAGAAGUUCCACAUCACUAGAAUGCUUCCAUCUUCACCUGAACCGAUUCCUCCCAGGGAAAAACACAAUCAAAACAAUUCACUUUUAAUGUACAAUUACUGUUGUCUCUGUUUGAACUGGUGGUUCUAUUCAAAUGUACCAACCUUGUGAAUUUAUAUUUCGGGUACACUAGCCAGUGAUACCUUCUAUCAGACAUACCUGGUUGAUGGAUUGGCACGGUGGAAUCAGGACCAUGCUGUUGCAGCUACAAGUGACAGGAAGGAGCCACACUCCUACAGUGUCAUCCUUCAUCACACCGCCAACACCCUCAGGGAGGAUAUGCUUGGAACGAUUAUGGUUCCUUACACUGUUCCAGGCAAAUACACUAAUGUCCAAGGGGAGGAUGAGGGCUUUGUGGAAUUUCAGGACCUGACAGCUCCAGUGCUGGAGACAGCCCUGCCUCUUGGCACCUUUCGUCCUAUUCCCACCCCCUCUACCAGCAUCCAGUCCACAGCUGCAUCAGUCAGUCCCCUGGCUUCCACUCUUGUACGUGCUACUCCACCACCUGGGCCUCUGUCCUCUACACCUGUGCUCACCAGUCCAUCAGUCAGUCCCAUCCUCCACUCCUGUAUGGGCUACUCCCCCCACAGGCAGGCAAGAGUGUGCAAGGUGGUAUUGAAUGUGUCGCUGUCUGUCGCCUUGGCUGUGUUUGUAAAUUCACUCUGGAAUGCCAGAGUCUGCUCAGUGCGUUCUUGGGCGUUCAUAAAAUUCUGAGCGUUUUGCUCCCAGAGCGUUUAAAACACACACUGGACGCUCUGGUCAAAGAGUAGGUUUGAUGCGAGCUAGCGUUCUGACCUCACAACAGCAGCACCCAAGCUAACUGACUGAAGUUGGCUAGCUUGCUAAUGAGAGAACACAAAUGAGAGAAUACCUCACUCUGACCAUUUUAUUCGCCCGAGCAGAGCUGGUUAGGCUGCUUUCAUGUUAUCUAGUGCUUUGACUGUAACUGCGGCUGGCAACAAUUUACUGACACCCGUCAUAUUCAACAGGUGUUGCGUGUUAUUAAAUGAAUGUUACCCCUUGAUUACUCACAUUUCUCUUGACCUGUGCAUCUAUACUGAACAAAAAUAUAACGCAACAUGCAAUAAUUUCAAAGAUUUUACUGAGUUACAGUUCAUAUAAGGAACUCAGUCAAUUAAAAUAAAUUCAUUAGGCCCUAAUCUAUUGAUUUCACAUGACUGAGAAUACAGAUAUGCCUCUGUUGGUCACAGAGAUAAAAAAUAUAAAAAACAGUCAGUAUCUGGACCUAAUGCAGCAAGACACAUCUCCUUCGCAGAGAGUUGAUCAGGCUGUUGAUUGUGGAAUGUUGUCCCACUCCUCUUCACUGGUGUGUCCAAACUUUUGACUGGUACUGUAUAUAGUUUUGUUCUGUAUACAUUGUAAACUUUCAUUCAUAGGCUAGGUUGUAGCAACCUCAUGAUGGGUAAUAUGGAAAAUGAUAGUAUCAUGUAGUAGCUUAAACCUAUCGAUGUUACAUUGAACUGGGUGAAUGGAAUAUGAAUGACAGUCAUCCAAUAUUCUGUAAUAGAAAUAAGGCCAAGCUCAUCAAAAUUGUCCUCCCUCAUUUUAAACAUCACUGACAGCCACUGAUACCGUGCAUUGAAAAAUUGCAAUAAGAUCAUACACUUCUGAUCUUGAUUCCCUCCUAUGACUGUUUUAUUCAGCUACUGCUUACCCCAAGAUCUCCUCUACCACACAGAAGACCACUGUGGCCUGUGAACCCAGCAUCUUCUCUCGCUCGCUAUCAAUCAGUGAGAUGGCCUCAGAGACAUAAUUGCUCCAUGCAACAGAGAAGCCAAUCUCCAUUCCAUUAGAGGCUGUACAAUACAGUAUUUAUGGUGGUGAAUCAAAGUUGAUUUGUUAUUCAACCAUUCUUAUACAGGUAUAUUUGUUUCAUUUUCCUCACAAAGACAGAACUAGAGAAGAAAAGGUACUAGUAUUUGCAUAGGCAUUAUGGUGAAAGACAAAGAGAGACUUAUGUUACGACAUUUGUGACAUUGGUGUUAUUAUUGCAUGGAAUCAAAGAGAGUGCAAUCACUUUAUGUAAGCAUUGUGCACAUGUCAGACCUGAUGCAAGUCAUUCAAUGGAGCAGAAUGACAAAGUGGAGUACAUCAGUAUAAAAAAAACACACUCCAGUGGGUUUCUUAUAACACUCUAUUUAGUGGCCGUAUCUGAAUCAAUCUCCUACCUUAUGAACCGACCACUCAGUGGCAUGGUUUGCUGCAUAACGGCAGGUCCGGUGAAUAACAAAACAGAGUUUAACCUUGAAGACUGAAAUUCGGGGGUGGCAUACUGAACAUUGAAGUUACUAUUAGGCUCAAUGAAGAAUGUGACUGUUCACUGGUAACAAACCUGAAACAAACAUUUACUUGUUGUCUGAAUGUCUCUUACUAUUCAGCGGGAAAACCUUUCUAUUGAUGAGGAUAUGUCAUGCUAGUCCAUUUAGAAUGAUGAGGACUUUGAGACGGUCAUCAGCUACUAUAAUAUUCCGUCCAGGUUCCUCAGAGGGGUUGAGUUAUCAAUAAACUAACCAAGAUCUAUCCCCUCGCCUCUGAAGUGAAUUUUCAAAGACUGCAGAAACCCUUCUGAAGCACCGUUCAAGCAAUCUGAAGAUUUUAAACUGGAUGUGAUGACAUUAAUGAAGGAUACUUUUUCAAGCACGUCUCAUUCCAAUAAGCCCAGAGUGAGUUUAGAUUCAGAGUGGUUCCACUUGGCUGAGGAGAAACAUUUUCUGAAUUUAAACGCGACCAAUUCUUCAACCAAGCCUCUGCUCACAUGAAGCGUUAAAUUCAACUCAAAGCAGCUGCAAAGAGAUUUACAUUUUCAGUAUAGGGCUUUAAAGCCAUAGGGUUGACUAAAAUAUUUGCAUUAAGGAUUUUCCCUCCCAUCUGAGAAACAUAUUUCUAACAUCUCUCAGUUGACACCUCUCAGUUGACGCCUUUGGGUAUUCUAUCUUAAGCUACUACCCUUAUUCUACAAAACAUAAGGAAACUAAAUUGUGAUCCAUUCCAAAGAAGGGAAUAUAAACACCAUAAAUCAUUUCAAUAGGACUUUCCAAGUGAGCCGGCGCUGUAACUAAUAUUGGAUUUGUAAUUAGUGGCAUUAUGUUCCAGCACACUAGUCUUUCCUUUCCAAUCCCACUCGCUUUAGCUGAAUAGGCUUAUUAACAACCUCAACCUCCAAUGACACUUCUAACUCCUUUUUUGUGUGAUUAUGAUUUUGUACCUUCAUGUUGUAACUUCUCAAAAAUAAAUGUGUCCAUUUGAGUCUAUCAAAAGAAUGUGGAUGUAAUCAAUAAGCAGAAUGAAUCAGUGUUGUACUCACGCGCAUGCCAAGCUCAAUGUUCUCGCCUCCAUAGACUUCCAUGCCAGGAUCGAGGAGGCCGAUCUGGCCAAAGUAUUCUCUGUCCACCACAAAGGAGCAGCCGAUCAUAGCUGGUGUCCUAGAUGAAAAGACAGAUGGAGAGAGGCUUUUAAAAACAGUGUUCAUUCCCCUGUCUGUCUUGAUCAGCCUCAGUGACACCCACAGUGCACUCUGUUGAGUAGACACUUUACUAAAAUAAAACAGGAUUCAUAAUAAUGUUAAUAAUCACUGCACACCAGCCUGUUUGCACCCUGGGCUACACUGGAGGCCGAUACACUAUUUACUUGAUUUAAUUUCAUUAACACAAAAAUCUAUGCAUGAUUAACCUGGGAAAACCCCUGAGUAACAAUGCAUUUUACAAAUCGGAGAACACCAUUCUCCUCUUAAUUGUACAUCUACAUGUGGGGUACAAGUGCACCCAGACCUUCUGUGAAAAUACCACAGGCUCAGCGUUUGGUAUAUCUUUCAAUAUGCAUUUUUCCAUAAGUGUCGGUGUUAAAACAUCAAGAGGACCAGCUUCCAGAGACAUCUCCAUAAUACAAUAGAACUGGGCCUAUAAAGCUCUUUAAGGAAGAGGGGUGGCAGGUAGCCUAGUGGUCAGCGGGAAAAAAAAAGGAACAUUGCUUUAAGGAUGUAUGAGAGGGAAGCUAUGAUGGGGACGAGGUCCUCUAGUAAGUAUAGACGGUCAGACACACACAAACCUCCAUGAGAGAGCCACCUGUGCUGGCCUGAUGGAUGGGCCACUGUCCUCUCCACUCCAGCCUGCUCUCUCUAGGUCUCUAAAGUUGUUUUUAUUUCCGGGCCACUGUCACCCUAGGCUUGCUUUUACCGGCUUUAGCCAAUACAUUUAGUGCUCGAUAACAUAGACUUCAUCAAAAUGUAAUAUAAAAAUAUAGCAGUCCAUGAUGUGCGAUGACAAAUGGAGUCAAAUAGCUUAUUUUCAAUCUGAUCAGUGGGUAGCUGUAGUCUCCUGCAGCAUGGAGCCUAGUACACCAUACAUUAAUAUGCACAGUGGAGAGUGCAGUUCUGUACGGCUGGCCCUACUGUAUGUUAUCGGGAGGAGGUUAUUAGAGAGGGAGGAUGAAGAGGGAACACUAUAAUGAUUAAUUGACACUGUGUUAAUAUUCAAAAGGAGGUUGUUUAGGGAUAUCAAGGAUGCUGUGCAUGUUUAUAUUUGUUUGCAUAUAGUCGUGUUUAGACAAUAAUUGCAGUAGUUUUGUCUUCCCAAAAUAAUCUGCAUGGAGUGUGCUUUAUGAAAUUAUUAUGUGGGGUAAGGAAGACAAGCACACACACACACACACACACACACACACAAACCAACAUCUGCGCAAUCACUGCUCUAUAGAUAUCUUGCAAAAAUCUCCCUUUUCCAGUGGGCAAACAGCCUACACACUCAUCCUCGGUCUGUUUUUUCACCUCCUUUUCUUAUUUGAUGAUGUUUUUCAGUCAGUCAAAGUUUAUAAAAGCAACGUUUUUUCUAUUACAGUGCCUUCAGAAAGUAUGCCCACCCCUUUACUUGUUCCACAUUUUGUUGUGUUACAGCCUGAAUUUAAAAUGGAUUCCAUUGAGAUGUAUUGUUACUAGCCUACACACAAUACCCCAAUGUCAAAGAGGGAUUAUGUUUUAAGAACGUGUAACUAAUUAAUAAAACAUGAAAAGCUGAAA